AGGUGGCAAGAAUGAUGAAAGAAAUAGAUGUGUGAGAGGAGAAAUCCUUUUGUGAACUCAACUAUUGAUGCUUAUUGAUAUUCUGACUUUGCCUUUU